rnacentral:rRNA from 1 species
AGUGAACGCUGGCGGCAGGCCUAAUACAUGCAAGUCGAACGGCAGCACAGCAGAGCUUGCUCUGUGGGUGGCGAGUGGCGGACGGGUGAGGAAUACGUGGGAAUCUGCCCAGUCGUGGGGGAUAACGUAGGGAAACUUACGCUAAUACCGCAUGCGCCCUUCGGGGGAAAGCCGGGGACCUUCGGGCCUGGCGCGAUUGGAUGAGCCCACGUCGGAUUAGCUAGUUGGCGGGGUAAAGGCCCACCAAGGCGACGAUCCGUAGCUGGUCUGAGAGGAUGAUCAGCCACACUGGAACUGAGACACGGUCCAGACUCCUACGGGAGGCAGCAGUAGGGAAUAUUGGACAAUGGGCGCAAGCCUGAUCCAGCCAUGCCGCGUGAGUGAAGAAGGCCCUCGGGUUGUAAAGCUCUUUGUUGGGGAAGAAAGCAGUUGGUUAAUACCCGACUGUUCUGACGGUACCCAAAGAAUAAGCACCGGCUAACUUCGUGCCAGCAGCCGC